GGCAGCUCUCGGGUGAUGCACCCCGGAAUCGGGCUCCCUCCUCUCUGGUUCUGGGUGUGUCACCUGAGAACCACA
rfam:Myotis lucifugus cont2.40219, whole genome shotgun sequence.